GCUGGGCACGGUGGUGCACGCCUGUAAUCCCAGCAGCUAGGGAGGCUGAGGCAGGAGGAUUGCGAUUUCAAAGCCAGCCUCAGCAAUGAGGAGGUGCUAAGGAACUGAGACCCUGUCUCUA
rnacentral:sRNA from 1 species